rnacentral:rRNA from 1 species
GCAAGUCGGACGAGAAAGCCCUUCGGGGUGAGUAGAGUGGCGCACGGGUGAGUAAUACAUAGGAACGUACCUAUAGGUGGGGAAUAACUACGGGAAACUGUAGCUAAUACCGCAUAUGAUAGUGAUAUCAAAGGAGGCCUCUUUACAAUGCUUUCGCCUGUAGAUCGGCCUAUGUCCCAUUAGCUAGUUGGUAGGGUAAUGGCCUACCAAGGCUACGAUGGGUAGCUGGUCUGAGAGGAUGAUC